CUGUCUAUUAAUAAUAUAUUUAACUUAUUAAAGAGGUGUAAAUACCUCUAUGAUAAUAGAAGACGAGAACAUUUUAGAAAUUUUAUAUAAAGUGUAUUAUAUAUUUAUACUAUCAUUUUGUUGGGGCGACAGAAUAGCAAAUAACCUAUCUCUCAGAAGACAUGAAGUUUUUCUAAAGACAGUAAAAAUUACUCGAGGGCUCCCCCCCUCCUUUUUUUUUUUAUUGUGAGCUCAAUCUCAGACCCCUCCGGGUUUUAUUCAAAUAAAUAGGCCCCCCGUGCUGUUCGAACAAAUAUCCUUACUUGAUCUGAG
rnacentral:rRNA from 1 species